rnacentral:tRNA from 1 species
UCCCUGGUGGCCCAGAGGUUAGGGAUGCAGCAUUAUCACUGCUGUGGCUCAGAUUCAAUUCCUGGCCUGGGAA